GAUGAACGCUGGCGGCGUGCCUAAUACAUGCAAGUCGAGCGAACAGACGAGGAGCUUGCUCCUCUGACGUUAGCGGCGGACGGGUGAGUAACACGUGGAUAACCUACCUAUAAGACUGGGAUAACUUCGGGAAACCGGAGCUAAUACCGGAUAAUAUAUUGAACCGCAUGGUUCAAUAGUGAAAGACGGUUUUGCUGUCACUUAUAGAUGGAUCCGCGCCGCAUUAGCUAGUUGGUAAGGUAACGGCUUACCAAGGCAACGAUGCGUAGCCGACCUGAGAGGGUGAUCGGCCACACUGGAACGUAGACACGGUCCAGACUCCUACGGGAGGCAGCAGUAGGGAAUCUUCCGCAAUGGGCGAAAGCUUGACGGAGCAACGCCGCGUGAGUGAUGAAGGUCUUCGGAUCGUAAAACUCUGUUAUUAGGGAAGAACAAAUGUGUAAGUAACUAUGCACGUCUUGACGGUAACUAAUCAGAAAGCCACGGCUAACUACGUG
rnacentral:rRNA from 1 species